rnacentral:rRNA from 1 species
GGGAACGUACCCUUCGGUUCGGAAUAACUCAGGGAAACUUGAGCUAAUACCGGAUACGCCCUUUUGGGGAAAGGUUUACUGCCGAAGGAUCGGCCCGCGUCUGAUUAGCUUGUUGGUGGGGUAACGGCCUACCAAGGCGACGAUCAGUAGCUGGUCUGAGAGGAUGAUCAGCCACACUGGGACUGAGACACGGCCCAGACUCCUACGGGAGGCAGCAGUGGGGAAUAUUGGACAAUGGGCGCAAGCCUGAUCCAGCCAUGCCGCGUGAGUGAUGAAGGCCUUAGGGUUGCAAAGCUCUUUUGUCCGGGACGAUAAUGACGGUACCGGAAGAAUAAGCCCCGGCUAACUUCGUGCCAGCAGCCGCGGUAAUACGAAGGGGGCUAGCGUUGCUCGGAAUCACUGGGCGUAAAGGGCGCGUAGGCGGCCGAUUAAGUCGGGGGUGAAAGCCUGUGGCUCAACCACAGAAUUGCCUUCGAUACUGGUUGGCUUGAGACCGGAAGAGGACAGCGGAACUGCGAGU